CAGUAUGGCUGCCGCGGCAAGCGAACUCCGGGUUCGGGACUUCUUUGGUGCAAACUGAGCGGAUCCUGCAGUAUGGCUGCCAUGGCAAGCAAGCUCCGGGCUAGGGUGAACAGAGUGAGAAAGGCUUCCACUAUGAUCUCUGGUUGUGUCUACAUCUUAGAGUUCCAGGGGUCUCUGGGCAGGAAGACCAAAAUGCUUGUCUGGCAACUGUCCUCUUCAUGCUGAUUCCUGGCUGUGGCAUAGGGAACUGGAGCUCGAAUGUGCCCUUUGUCCUCUCUGUACCACGGAGUCCACUUCCAGGUUCAAGACAGUUUCUGCAGAACUCCUGAAGGACAACAAAGGGAAUAAAGGGAAUAAAAAGAAAGCCACAAGACAUAAACACAGAAAACAAGGGUGAGAAAGCGAAGCAGACAACAGACGGAGGAUCUAAGUCUGAAAGGAAGGGAAGAAGUGGAAUGUCUGGGGACCCGGAAGCUUAUGAGCAUAGAGACCAGAAUUCCCGGGGCAGUAGCUGAUCCUAGGAGGUGAAGUAUAUGUGCUGGUAGGAUGCUUUACCGCAGUGUCUGGACCAUCAAUGGCCUUCCUUCUCUGCAGCAGAUACCCUCAGAAUGUACUUCCUAACAUACAAACACACAUACCAGCUCACCAUCAAUUUAAGGAAAAGAAUAGUCAUCCUCCACUACUUGCUAAAGUUGGGCCUCACUCUACUCAUAACUUCUCUAGUGGAUGACAGGUCACUUUCCCGCUUUUGGCAGCCAUCACAUGGUACAUGUGUAGGGGGCAGCUUUCUUGACCUUGAUCCUGGAUAUUCUCUGGUACUCUUGAGCAAGCUGACCUAGGAAAGAGAAGCCUCCAAUGGGGAUAACCUGCUUUAAGUCCAUUUUAUACCUACUGGUUUGGCCAGUGAGGCACUGGCAUUGAAAGCAGUCCACAUGACACCCUUCCUAUCUCACAACUACUUUGCUUGUUGACUCAG
rnacentral:lncRNA from 1 species